UAUCCAAUUCCCCUCUAUAUCACAUUUGAUAAUCCAACGAACUCCGUCAGUUGUUUUCUUUUUCCUACAAAGAUUGAAGAAGAUUUUUCAGACAGAACAUAGUAAAAAAAAAGUAGAACACUCUUAACAGUAAGACAGUGUGCUGGUACAGGAUUGAUGGAAGGAGUGGUAGUAAAGGAAGAGGAAACACAAGUGACGUUUGCUGCUCCUGUAACGGUGGGGUUGUCUUCAUCUUCAUCGUAUUCGAACGCUACUCCGCAGCCGCGGGAAGGGCUUAACGAGAUUGGUCCGCCGCCAUUCCUCUCCAAAACCUUUGAAAUGGUCGAAGACCCAUCGACGGACGCGGUGGUUUCAUGGAGUAAAGCUCGAAACAGCUUCAUCGUUUGGGACUCUCAUAAAUUCUCCACCACUCUGCUUCCUAGGUACUUCAAGCACAACAAUUUCUCCAGUUUCAUUCGCCAGCUCAAUACGUAUGGUUUUCGAAAAAUUGAUCCGGAUCGAUGGGAAUUUGCAAAUGAAGGGUUUCUGGGAGGUCAAAAGCACUUACUGAAAACGAUUAAGAGGAGAAGAAAUUUGGUGCCAAGCUCUCCACAUCAAGGUGGAGGAGCUUGUUUUGAGUUAGGACAAUUUGGAAUAGAUGAAGAACUGGAGCGAUUAAAGAAGGAUCGAAGUGUUUUACUAGCCGAAAUCGUGCGAUUAAGGCAGCAGCAGCAGCAUUCAAGGUACCAAGUUGUUGCAAUGGAGGAAAGGUUGCAGAACACAGAGAGGAAACAGCAGCAGAUAAUAGCAUUCCUUGCUAAAGCUCUACGAAACGCGACUUUUAUCCAGCAAUUCGCUCAGCAAAGACAGGUUCCGGGGAUCGAAAUAGGUCGAAAACGUCGGUUAGCAGCGAGCCCCAGCUUAGAGAAUUUGCAGCAAGAAGCAGUCCCUGUGGUGGUCGAUAACGAUCAAGUCGACGAGCAAGAAGAAUUGGCUACCAUCGAGUCCGAGAUCGAGACGUUUUUUACAUACGCCAUGGACAAUGAAUCCAGCAGUGAAAUCAAGGAUCGUAUAACAAGUCCAAUGCCCGUUUCAAGUGUGACUAACACCUUGGGUGUUAAUGAUACGAUAUGGGAAGAGUUAAUAAAUGAAGAUUUGAUAGGUGGUGAACCGAGGGAGGAACUCGUGGUUGGUGAUCAAGCUGAAGUUGAUGUUCAAGUUGAAGAUUUGGCAGCAAACCCUGCAGAUUGGGUUGAUGAUUUGCAGGAACUUGUGGAUCAAAUGGGUUAUCUCAGGUCAAAUCCAUGACCAAGAAAAAAAAACACACAUUAAUGGAAUGUAGGGAUCUUGUUGUUCUAGGGCUUUGACUUGAGUUGGUCUCUUUGGCACCAUUCCUUGUGUUAUUGAACUGCAGGGAAUGGUGAAAGUUGCUUAGGGGCCAACAAUUGUUCCUGCUAUUCUCUGUAUCCUUUAUUAAUCGUCAAAUCUUAAACUUUUUUUCUUCUUCUGAGAAACAAUUUCAGAGCUAUCCUGGAAUUUGAUUUAGUAGUUUAUAACAUAUUUAUUGGUCUUCUUGUAAUUUUUGGCAGGCAAACCAAGUGAAAGAGGUGUAUGAUAUGAAGGAACCCUUUGAAGCAAUAGAUCUUCCGCCGGCUUCAAGUUCCAGAAUUUUGGUCUUUACUGCUUCUGUACGUGAUUGCUGAAAUGCACGUUCGGUCUCCAUGUUAAAUUCUUAUUCUGUUUUUGUUCAUGUUGUAUAUCGGUUUCAGUACAUAGGCAUAUAUAAUGAUGGUUGCCUAUUAUAUGCUGUAUUCGUUAGUUUUUACACUAUAAUUAAAUAAUGAUCAUUAGCUCA